rnacentral:siRNA from 1 species
ACAGCUUGUCCAGCUCACCUAGC